AUUGAACGCUGGCGGCAGGCUUAACACAUGCAAGUCGAGCGGGGUGAUGGUGCUUGCACUAUCACUUAGCGGCGGACGGGUGAGUAAUGCUUAGGAAUCUGCCUAUUAGUGGGGGACAACAUCUCGAAAGGGAUGCUAAUACCGCAUACGUCCUACGGGAGAAAGCAGGGGAUCACUUGUGACCUUGCGCUAAUAGAUGAGCCUAAGUCGGAUUAGCUAGUUGGUGGGGUAAAGGCCUACCAAGGCGACGAUCUGUAGCGGGUCUGAGAGGAUGAUCAGCCACACUGGGACUGAGACACGGCCCAGACUCCUACGGGAGGCAGCAGUGGGGAAUAUUGGACAAUGGGGGGAACCCUGAUCUAGCCAUGCCGCGUGUGUGAAGAAGGCCUUAUGGUUGUAAAGCACUUUAAGCGAGGAGGAGGCUCUUUUGGUUAAUACCCAAGAUGAGUGGACGUUACUCGCAGAAUAAGCACCGGCUAACUCUGUGCCAGCCGCCGCGGUAA
rnacentral:rRNA from 1 species